GAUGAACGCUGGCGGCGUGCCUAAUACAUGCAAGUCGAGCGAACGGACGAGAAGCUUGCUUUUCUGAUGUUAGCGGCGGACGGGUGAGUAACACGUGGAUAACCUACCUAUAAGACUGGGAUAACUUCGGGAAACCGGAGCUAAUACCGGAUAAUAUUUUGAACCGCAUGGUUCAAAAGUUAAAGACGGUCUUGCUGUCACUUAUAGAUGGAUCCGCGCUGCAUUAGCUAGUUGGUAAGGUAACGGCUUACCAAGGCAACGAUGCAUAGCCGACCUGAGAGGGUGAUAGGACAAACUGGAACUGAGACACGGUACAGACUACUACGGGAGGCAGCAGUAGGGAAUCUUCCGCAAUGGGCGAAAGCCUGACGGAGCAACGCAGCGUGAGUGAUGAAGGUCUUCGGAUCGUAAAACUCUGUUAUUAGGGAAGAACAUAUGUGUAAGUAACUGUGCACAUCUUGACGGUAACUAAUCAGAAAGCCACGGCUAACUACGUG
rnacentral:rRNA from 1 species